AUUGAACGCUGGCGGCAGGCCUAACACAUGCAAGUCGAACGGUAACAGGAAGAAGCUUGCUUCUUUGCUGACGAGUGGCGGACGGGUGAGUAAUGUCUGGGAAACUGCCUGAUGGAGGGGGAUAACUACUGGAAACGGUAGCUAAUACCGCAUAACGUCGCAAGACCAAUAAGGGGGACCUUCGGGCCUCUUGCCAUCGGAUGUGCCCCGAUGGGAUUAGCUAGUAGGUGGGGUAACGGCUCACCUAGGCGACGAUCCCUAGCUGGUCUGAGAGGAUGACCAGACACACUGGAACUGAGAAACGGUCCAGACUCCUACGGGAGGCAGCAGUGGGGAAUAUUGCACAAAGGGCGAAAGCCUGAUGCAGCCAUGCCGCGUGUAUGAAGAAGGCCUUCGGGUUGUAAAGUACUUUCAGCGGGGAGGAAGGGAGUAAAGUUAAUCCCUUUGCUCAUUGACGUUACCCGCAGAAGAAGCACCGGCUAACUCCGUG
rnacentral:rRNA from 1 species